rnacentral:ncRNA from 1 species
GGAAACGGGGUGAAAAGCCCCUACUGUCCACAGCAACCGUGAAUGCCGCAGGGCAUGAGUCGGGAGAC